AUUCAACUGACGAGUCCUAAAUAGGACGAAACGCUCGUCCUAGAU
rnacentral:hammerhead_ribozyme from 1 species